GGAGAGAUGGCUGAGCGGCUGAUAGCAACACCCUGCUAAGGUGUUAGACUUUAACGAGUCUCCAGGGUUCGAAUCCCUGUCUCUCCG
rnacentral:tRNA from 1 species